AGGAAUAUCACAGCCAAUUAAGUUACCAUAUAUACUUUUAAGUUGCUGUAUAAAGUUGGUCAUAUUUCUUUAUCAGGAAGAAGCUUCUCUCCAAAGGCGUCGUGCUGCAGUGCGCCAGGCUCUGUCGGGGAAGGCACCUAGUGCAUCUGUCCAGCUUUUCCAAAGAGGCCUGGCAGUCACUCCUGAACCGAGCAGCUCCCGUCAACAAUUCCUGGAACCAACAAUACAUUCUUCUCUGCUCUCAGAUGGAAGAAAUGUCACCCAGGACCAGAGCUUGGCCCUGACUAACCCAGAGAGCCGAAAGAGUAAAGUAAUAAAAACCAUCAAGGGCUCCAGAGAAUCUGGUCCUGCUCGUGGACGAUUCCUAAUCUCAUCUGGUGCACCUGCUGCUGAAGGCCUGCCCGUUCGGACCCCUGUUCCCCAAGCUCACCUCACUGGAGAUGCCAAAGCUGAGCAUCAAGACCUAAGAGGAGCUGAAAAUGGAGUGGAUAGACUGAAAGGUUUGAACCAAAGUAAGAGUUUUGCUCAGGUUGUGCAUCUUACUGUAAUGCUGACAGCUUCAUUUGGGUGACGGGACAGCCUCU
rnacentral:lncRNA from 1 species